rnacentral:rRNA from 1 species
UAAAAUAUAAUAUAAAAUUCUUAAUUAAUAGUUAGUAUAAAUAUAAAUUUAAUGAAUUUGGCGGUAUUUUAUCUUUUUAGAGGAACUUGUUUUUUAAUCAUUGAUAUUCCACAAUAAAUUUUACUUAAUUUAUAUAAAUUUGUAUAUCGUUGUCAUAAAAAUAUUUUUUAAAAAUAAUUUAAUUUUUAAUUUUAUUAAUUUAUAAAUAUGUCAAAUCAAGGUGCAGUUAAUAGUUAAGUAAAUAAUGAGUUACAAUAAAUUUAUUUAUUACGGAAAAUUUUUUGAAAAAAGGGUUUUAAGGUGGAUUUAAUAGUAAAUUAAUUUAAAUCAAUUAUUUGAAAUAAGUUAUAAAAUGUGU